UCCCCGUUAUCCGAGGCAGUUUCCCAAGAGUGCUGUCCUUUACGGACGUGGCAACAUGGGAUAAGGGUUGCGCUCGUUGCGGGACUUAACCCAACAUCUCACGACACGAGCUGACGACAGCCAUGCAGCACCUGUGUUCGAGUUCCCGAAGGCACCAAUCCAUCUCUGGAAAGUUCUCGACAUGUCAAGGCCAGGUAAGGUUCUUCGCGUUGCAUCGAAUUAAACCACAUACUCCACCGCUUGUGCGGGCCCCCGUCAAUUCCUUUGAGUUUCAGUCUUGCGACCGUACUCCACAGGCGGAGUGCUUAACGCGUUAGCUUCGCUGCAGAAGGGGUCGAUACCCCCUACAGCUAGCACCCAUCGUUUACGGCGUGGACUAC
rnacentral:misc_RNA from 1 species